CCGCCAACACUGAACAUGGACAAGAAGGGCGGAGCAGCGCAACCGCCGUCGCCGCCGUCAAGGAUCCUGGCUCCGGCUGAGGAAGGCGCCACCAUUGAGACAAGGGAAACAACAAAAGCCAAUGAGAACUUAGAGUUUGGGGGCAGCAUUGCUGGCUUUGGUGUAAGCAUGAUGGUGGCCUGGUACAUUCUCUUCCCAGGAGAUAGAGGAGCACAUAAUCUACGGUGCAUCAUUCCGUUGUUCCUUGGCUUCGCAUGCCUCAUCAGUGGUGUUUGCCUGAUGCUGCUCAGCAUGAACCUGCUGGAGCUCCCACAACACCUUGUCUCCGAGAGCCAGCUCAUGGUUUCCAAAUACCUUUCCUGGUUAUGCAGCGCAUUGCCAGUGGUAACAUUGAUCAGCCCCUUUCUGCUCUCUGGGUAUAAGUUAUACAGGUACAUUGGCCUUGCCCUUCUGGUUGUGGUGACGGCUCCGCUUGCUGUAGUACGAUGGUAUGUGGGACUCAAAGCUCAGGGCGGUGACGAAGAGGCAGCACUCAGGGAGCACAAGGAACAGUUGGAAGCUGCCUUUAAGUUGGUGUCAGCCAUUAGCAACUCUGCCUUCACAGGCGUGGUUGCCCUGGUGGUCAAUUACAAUGUAACUGGUGGUUCAGGGAAGACCAAAAGUGUUGUUCUUGUAGCCAUCUUCUUGGUGUUCACUACUUUAAUCUGGGGUCUGCUCUACAUCGCGAUCCGUGACAAGGUACUGGAGAUCAACAGUCCAAGGCUCAGGGGAUGCAUCAUCAAAUGCAUGUCGCUAGCAAUUAUCUUCAUUCAUUUGCUGCUAGCCUGUGCAGUUCUUGCAGUGGCUUUCGAUAUAGUUGAGUUCUCCAUCUUCGCAGCAUUCGCCCCUUGGGUUUUUGCGGCGGCUGUCCACAUUUUCAAGGAGCACUGUGUUGGCCGUACAACAGCCCAGGACAGCAACCCGAGUGACUACCAAAAGGCACGCCUCAAGUGGAAGGCAGAGAUGGGGCACAAGAUCACAAUGUGGUCUUUUACGGCAAUCAUCGCCAUCUUUGGAGGGUUCCUUCAUGGGAAGGCUGAAUCUCUCAAGGCCUGCACCAUAUUAUUCACCUCAGCUUUUAUGUCCGGCUUUGCUCUCACGGUGGCCACCAUCAAGCCAGACUUGACCAGUGUCGGCCUCGCUGCAGCUACCACCGUACUCGAUUGGACUGCGAAGGCAACAUUUGCUGCGGCAAUAUUUGCUAUUAUCAUUGCAGUGGUCCUGGAUAUAUUUUGA
rnacentral:rRNA from 1 species